UCCCCAAAGCUGUCCCAGUGCCAAAAGUGCUGGGGGUCGAGGUCUAGGGCAAAAGGGAGAGAAACGUGAACGAGGUGUGCAGGCCAAGGUCAGUGGGGGAGGACGGGACCGAGUGAGGAGGCCAAGGUCAUGUGGGGAGGACGGGACCGAGUGAGGAGGCCAAGGUAAGUGUGGGGAGGACGGGACCGAGUGAGGAGGCCAAGGUCAGUGUGAGGAGGACGGGACCGAGUGAGGAGGCCAAGGUCAGUGUGGGGAGGACGGGACCGAGUGAGGAGGACAAGGUCAGUGUGGGGAGGACGGGACCGAGUGAGGAGGACAAGGUCAGUGUGGGGAGGACGGGACCGAGUGAGGAGGCCAAGGUCAGUGUGGGGAGGACGGGACCGAGUGGGGAGGCCAAGGUCAGUGUGGGGGAGGACGGGACCGAGUGAGGAGGCCAAGGUCAGUGUGGGGGAGGACGGGACCGAGUGAGGAGGCCAAGGUCAGUGUGGGGAGGACGGGACCGAGUGGGGAGGCCAAGGUCAGUGUGGGGGAGGACGGGACCGAGUGAGGAGGCCAAGGUCAGUGUGGGGAGGACGGGACCGAGUGGGGAGGCCAAGGUCAGUGAGAGGAGGACGUAAACUGUGGGCUCCAUCUGCCUCCAUUACGGCAUUUCUGAAGGAGACUUGAUACAGAUAUUAGCUCCACAUAAAAGACACUAAAAUCCUUAAAUUCUUCCUAAAUAGU